CUGAAGGCAUCCAAUGGGAGAAGCCCGGGGGGCCUCUCCGGCUGAUGGAUGGAUGCUAACCUGAUGGACGCUAGAGAUGCUUUUCCUGUGAUUCUUUGACUCAAACCAGGGACAUGACUCGUCUGAAUCUGCAGUGUUUCUGGGAAAUCACUGCAGGCUCCGCCCACCUGCCCUCACCUCUGCCUGCCUCCAACGGACAUCAACUGACAAAAAUCCAGUUUUCAGUUUGGUCGUGUUCAGAUCUUCACACUGACUCAGGAGCGAGCUGAUGACUCCUCUGCCUCAGGUCUGCUGGCCUCACUUGCUCUGACCGCUGUCGGGUCAUGGAGGAGUGUGUGUUCUCAGAGAAAGACGUGUUACGGCAGCACAAACAGGCCGUUAUACUCGACAGGCAGCCGCGAUUUUCCUCCGUCUGUCUCCGACACAAACAGCUCGGCACUUCCUCCGUCUGCUGAAGAAAGAGGAAGUGAAGAGGAGAGCCAAGUGUAAGGAGUCCUCUGUCUCCUCAGACAGGACUGACACCACAACAACAACAACAACAACAAGGACAGUGACGACCGACGCUGACGAAUUAUUCAUGAAGCUCCAAAAAAAAAAAAAAAAAAGCCGCUCAGCAGCCCGCCUUGUUUUCAUGAGUUACAGCCCCAAACUUUCACCCUCAGAGGAGACAUUUCCCUCUCAAUGGCGCCCACCUGGUCUGAGGAAGGAAGGCUGCGCUCUCAGGAUGCUGCUAUCAAAGAGCCUUUUCUCCAACUUGGUUGAAAAGUUUGCAGUUUGUCACAAGCGGCGCUCUGUUGCCGAACAAGAUAAACUCUGUGCGGCACCUGAAACGUGGCUCCGCCGCUGGGAGACGCGCUUCACAUCCGUAAUGAGGAGAUAAACAAACUUUGUCUGGAGGUACUUUUGACUCGCUGAGACUUUGGAAGAACAAUCUCGUCUUUCAGAAAACAGAACUUCACAAAGACAAACCUCCGUUUUUUUUUUAAACUAAAAACAGACACUUUUCUCUCAUCUCUGAAGGAAACUGUGAAUCCCAGUCUGUAAACGUUCAUUUUAAUGGUUUGUUUUUGCUCUCAUUGUGCUUCUCUGGGUUGUUUGUUUUCAUGAAGGAACUAUUUUUAUGUUUUUGUUGGGCAUUAGAAAAAGCUGCACGUCUUAUUGAGUUAACAGAGUUUGUUGCUGCUGAGAAAAUGAUUGAAAUCUUUUUUUUCAAAGAGUUUAUAUGAAAAAAAACUUUAAAUUGAAUUGCAGCAAGUGUUGUUUUUUUCCAUUAUCAACUAGCUAUCCAGGGUGUGAUGAGAUAUUUUGCUAACAGAUAAAAGUUUUAAACAGGUCUUGUGUGACGAGCUAGCCCUCA